rnacentral:rRNA from 1 species
AGAACGAACGCUGGCGGCAUGCCUAACACAUGCAAGUCGAACGCGUGGAGCAAUCCACGAGUGGCGGACGGGUGAGUAACGCGUGGGAACCUGCCCUGGAGUGUGGGAUAACCGAGGGAAACUUCGGCUAAUACCGCAUACGACCUGAGGGUGAAAGAUUUAUCGCUCUAGGAGGGGCCCGCGUCGGAUUAGCUAGUUGGUGGGGUAAAGGCCUACCAAGGCAGUGAUCCGUAGCUGGUCUGAGAGGAUGAUCAGCCACACUGGGACUGAGACACGGCCCAGACUCCUACGGGAGGCAGCAGUGGGGAAUAUUGGACAAUGGGGGCAACCCUGAUCCAGCAAUGCCGCGUGAGUGAUGAAGGCCUUAGGGUUGUAAAGCUCUUUCGCGCGCGACGAUGAUGACGGUAGCGCGAGAAGAAGCCCCGGCUAACUUCGCGCCAGCAGCCGC